UACGGGGGGGGCAAGCGUUGUUCGGAAUUACUGGGCGUAAAGGGUUCGUAGGUGGCUUGCUAAGUCAGACGUGAAAUCCCUCAGCUUAACUGGGGAACUGCGUCUGAGACUGGCAAGCUUGAGUGCAGGAGAGGAACGCGGAAUUCCAGGUGUAGCGGUGAAAUGCGUAGAUAUCUGGAGGAACACCGGUGGCGAAGGCGACAUCCUGGACCGGUAUUGACGCUGAGGCGCGAAAGCCAGGGGAGCAAACGGG
rnacentral:rRNA from 1 species